rnacentral:rRNA from 1 species
CUAGCGGCAGGCCUAACACAUGCAAGUCGAGGGGUAGCAGGAUUAAGCUUGCUUAAUUGCUGACGACCGGCGCACGGGUGCGUAACGCGUAUGCAAUCUACCUUUUACAGAGGGAUAGCCCAGAGAAAUUUGGAUUAAUACCUCAUAGUAUGUGAGAAUCGCAUGGUUUUCACAUUAAAGUUCCAACGGUAAAAGAUGAGCAUGCGUCCCAUUAGCUAGAUGGUAAGGUAACGGCUUACCAUGGCGACGAUGGGUAGGGGUCCUGAGAGGGAGAUCCCCCACACUGGUACUGAGACACGGUCCAGACUCCUACGGGAGGCAGCAGUGAGGAAUAUUGGACAAUGGAUGGAAAUCUGAUCCAGCCAUGCCGCGUGCAGGAAGACGGCCCUAUGGGUUGUAAACUGCUUUUGUAUGGGAGCAAUAAGGUCUAUGCGUAGACUGAUGAGAGUACCAUACGAAUAAGCAUCGGCUAACUCCGUG